UACGUAGGGGGCUAGCGUUAUUCGGAUUUAUUGGGCGUAAAGGGCAUCUAGGCUGUUACAUAAGUGUGGAUUUAAAGACCGGAGCUUAACUCCGUGUAUGGUCUGCAAACUGUGUAACUUGAAUGUAGGAGGGGAGACUGGAAUUCCACGUGUAGGGGUGAAAUCUGUAGAGAUGUGGAAGAAUACCGGUGGCGAAGGCGAGUCUCUGGCCUAUUAUUGACGCUGAAGUGCGAAAGUGUGGGGAGCGAACAGG
rnacentral:rRNA from 1 species